rnacentral:rRNA from 1 species
AAUUCGAUGCAACGCGAAGAACCUUACCUACUCUUGACAUCCACAGAAUUCGGCAGAGAUGCCUUAGUGCCUUCGGGAACUGUGAGACAGGUGCUGCAUGGCUGUCGUCAGCUCGUGUUGUGAAAUGUUGGGUUAAGUCCCGCAACGAGCGCAACCCUUAUCCUUUGUUGCCAGCACGUAAUGGUGGGAACUCAAAGGAGACUGCCGGUGAUAAACCGGAGGAAGGUGGGGAUGACGUCAAGUCAUCAUGGCCCUUACGAGUAGGGCUACACACGUGCUNCNANNGNNUAUACAAAGAGAAGCGAACUCGCGAGAGCCANNNNNNNNNNUAAAGUACGUCGUAGUCCGGAUCGGAGUCUGCAACUCGACUCCGNGAAGUCGGAAUCGC